GACGAACGCUGGCGGCGUGCUUAACACAUGCAAGUCGAACGGAAAGGCCCUGCUUUUGUGGGGUGCUCGAGUGGCGAACGGGUGCGUAACACGUGAGUAACCUGCCCUUGACUUUGGGAUAACUUAAGGAAACUGGGGCUAAUACCGGAUAGGAGCUCCUGCUGCAUGGUGGGGGUUGGAAAGUUUCGGCGGUUGGGGAUGGACUAGCGGGUUAUCAGCUUGUUGGUGGGGGAGUGGCUUACCAAGGCAUUGACGGGUAGCCGGCCUGAGUGGGUGACCGGCCACAUUGGGACUGAGAUACGGCCCAGACUCCUACGGUGGGCAGCAGUGGGGAAUAUUGCACAAUGGGCGGAAGCCUGAUGCAGCAACGCCGCGUGCGGGAUGACGGCCUUCGGGUUGUAAACCGCUUUCGCCUGUGACGAAGCGUGAGUGACGGUAAUGGAUAAAGAAGCACCGGCUAACUACGUG
rnacentral:rRNA from 1 species